rnacentral:misc_RNA from 1 species
AAAAACUUCCAUGUAAACGUUGCAAAAAUUCGCGGGAAUCAGAGAGGUUUAGAAAAUGUCUUUUGUAUCCCAGGUUUUGUCCUGUGCAGGACAACUUGAAGCAAAGGAGAUUCAAGGUAAAAUGGAUCUCUUGGGCAAGAAGAUGGAGGAUUUGAAACUUGAAAUCUAUGAGGUCACGAGGGGAAAGUACGUUGAUUUCUUCACCCAAAAACUUCAAGCUACUUCAGCUUUAGUUGAAAACGUAGAAAAGGUUUCUGGGGAUCUACAUGAUGCAAAAGAAAAGAUAGAAAAUGAUGUACAAAACCAGCUAACAUUAUCAAAAGAGGUCCUCACAAAUUUGAAAGGGGAUUUAGAAAACCACAAAUGUGUUCUAGUGAUUUUGGAAAGGCUGUUGCAGAUACAAGACAACUUGGAAUGUGCUGCCUCAGCCAAUAAAAGACACAGCUACUCUGAAGCAGCAGCAUCCCUACUGAAGGCCGAUGUACUACUAGGUACACCCCUGGAGGGAUAUGAUGACAUUGAGGUACUGAUGGCCUUGCAGACUGAGUGCUGUGUACAGAAACAGAAGUUGAUAUUUGAAAUGACUGUAUGUACGUGUGUCAUCACCUUGCUAUGAUUGGCCACCAGUUCAACAAGUCCCUCCCUGAGGACGUCCAGGCCACAUUUGUAGACCUGAUGCCGAAGAUCCGUCGACUGGGGACUGAUACAAUGUUACAGCAACUCAACUCCCAAAAGGACAUCAUGCUGGACUAUCUACAGGCAGCAAAGGGUUUUGUGAGUGUGUCUGAAGGUUCAAACUCUACCAGUACAGAGAAAGCAGUGAAACAAGUGCUUCACCAGCUGGGCCAUCUUCAAAAAGUCUGGCAGGAGAUCCUUCCCGUCAAUCAAUACAGGAAGUCAAUAGGUACCUUGCUGAACAUGGUGGUUGUGGAAAUCUGUGACAGAGUUGUGAGUUUAGAGGACAUCUCUGCCUCUGAUGCCUCACAGCUGGCCUCACUUAUGUCUCUCAUUCAAAAAAGGGCUGGUCCUUUAAUGAAAUCAACCAAUGACGAAGGGGAUGUGAAUGUCACCAUUGAACUUCAACGCAAUGUGCCAAAAUGGCUGCGAUUUACGGAAAUCAUCACGGUUCUGAAUGCCAGUCUCCUUGAGAUUAACGACAGGUGGGCUGAUGGCAAGGGGCCAUUAGCUAAUGAACUCACAGCCUCAGAAGUGAAGCAGAUGAUCAGAGCUUUGUUUCAGAAUACUGACAGACGGUCAGCAAUCUUGGCAAAAAUAAGAUAGUGCUGUAAUGAGAACAUGUAUUUUUGCAAUGUUUCCUUGAGUCUUUUAUGAACUUGUUUAUUGUUGCUUGUUAAUGUAUAAAAAGAUUAAAGGGAUAUAAAAUAUU